GUUGCCAGCUACACCUGAGCUAUUCAGGAGAAUCUGAGAGUUCGAAAGGACUGAUCGAGAAACUAAACUAAGAUUUUGAAGAUUUGACAAGAACCUGAAGAAUGGCUCAAACUGGAUUGAUUCUUGUUCCUUUACUCUUGCUGUCCAUCGUGAUUCUAGUGCAGAGUAGAUCUCCAGAAAUCUGUAACUCGAAGUCAGAAGUCAAGUUACUUGCCUCAGACGAACGACCUCCAAGGCAUGAAUGGAUAGACACAAUACGAAUAAAAAAGGGUCUCCC